CAUUAAUAAAUCGGUGUUAACCACCGUUAAACAUCUUGUGAACUUGUAUUUGUUCUUGGUGGUCGGCCGUUUCUGGCUCUAAGCCAUGUCUUCGCGACAUGGGCCACCAGUUGGCUAGUCGGUUUUCCGGCUAGCCUUGAACCAACCUAUGCUUUUCUAUUAUGGUCUUAACGUUCCUGUCUAUGGCAGGAUUGUAUCCAAAUUGAAAACAACUUUUGGCAACGGAUCUCUUGGCUCUCGCAACGAUGAAGAACGCAGCGAAAUGCGAUAAGUAAUGUGAAUUGCAGAACUUUGUGAAUCAUCAAAUCUUUGAACGCACCUUGCGCCCCUUGGGGCAUGCCUGUUUGAGUAUCUUUUAAAUCCUCACCCCCUAGUUAAUUUUAACUGGGAUGGGUGGAUCUAUGAGGCUCCAAUAUUUUUCAUUCGAAAAACUUGGUGCCUUUAAACCUAGCGACUGGCUGAAACUUUAGAAUGCCACCUCAAAGCGAGAAUCUCGAUCUUGGGGAUAAAUGGAAUCUAAUCAGCGACUAACGGUCGACAAACGCAGGGUUUAACAGCUCUAAACAUUUUGGUCUCAAAUCAGGCAAGACUACCCGCUGAACUUAA
rnacentral:rRNA from 1 species